UACGUAGGUGGCAAGCGUUGUUCGGAUUUACUGGGCGUAAAGGGCGCGUAGGCGGCCACCGCAAGUCGACUGUGAAAUCUCCGGGCUUAACCCGGAAAGGUCAGCCGAUACUGCGGGGCUAGAGUGCGGAAGGGGCAAUCGGAAUUCUUGGUGUAGCGGUGAAAUGCGUAGAUAUCAAGAGGAACACCUGAGGUGAAGACGGGUUGCUGGGCCGACACUGACGCUGAGGCGCGAAAGCCAGGGGAGCAAACGGG
rnacentral:rRNA from 1 species